rnacentral:rRNA from 1 species
UAGCUAGUUGGUGAGGUAAAGGCUUACCAAGGCGACGAUCUGUAGCGGGUCUGAGAGGAUGAUCCGCCACACUGGAACUGAGACACGGUCCAGACUCCUACGGGAGGCAGCAGUGGGGAAUUUUGGACAAUGGGGGCAACCCUGAUCCAGCCAUGCCGCGUGAGUGAAGAAGGCCUUCGGGUUGUAAAGCUCUUUCGGCCGGGAAGAAAUCGCAUGGGCCAAUACCCUGUGUGGAUGACGGUACCGGAAUAAGAAGCACCGGCUAACUACGUGCCAGCAGCCGCGGUAAUACGUAGGGUGCGAGCGUUAAUCGGAAUUACUGGGCGUAAAGCGUGCGCAGGCGGUUUUGUAAGACAGGCGUGAAAUCCCCGGGCUUAACCUGGGAACUGCGUUUGUGACUGCAAGGCUAGAGUACGGCAGAGGGGGGUGGAAUUCCACGUGUAGCAGUGAAAUGCGUAGAGAUGUGGAGGAACACCAAUGGCGAAGGCAGCCCCCUGGGUCGAUACUGACGCUCAUGCACGAAAGCGUGGGUAGCAAACAGGAUUAGAUACCCUGGUAGUCCACGCCCUAAACUAUGUCAACUAGGUGUUGGGUGGGUAAAACCAUUUAGUACCGUAGCUAACGCGUGAAGUUGACCGCCUGGGGAGUACGGCCGCAAGGUUAAAACUCAAAGGAAUUGACGGGGACCCGCACAAGCGGUGGAUGAUGUGGAUUAAUUCGAUGCAACGCGAAAAACCUUACCUACCCUUGACAUGCCAGGAACUUGCCAGAGAUGGCUUGGUGCCCGAAAGGGAACCUGGACACAGGUGCUGCAUGGCUGUCGUCAGCUCGUGUCGUAAGAUGUUGGGUUAAGUCCCGCAACGAGCGCAACCCUUGUCGUUAAUUGCCAUCAUUUGGUUGGGCACUUUAACGAGACUGCCGGUGACAGACCGGAGGAAGGUGGGGAUGACGUCAAGUCCUCAUGGCCCUUAUGGGUAGGGCUUCACACGUCAUACAAUGGUCGGUACAAAGGGUUGCCAAGCCGCGAGGCGGAGCCAAUCCCAGAAAGCCGAUCGUAGUCCGGAUUGCAGGCUGCAACUCGCCUGCAUGAAGUCGGAAUCGCUAGUAAUCGUGGAUCAGCAUGUCACGGUGAAUACGUUCCCGGGUCUUGUACACACCGCCCGUCACACCAUGGGAGCGGGUUCCGCCAGAAGUAGGUAGCCUAACCGCAAGGAGGGCGCUUACCACGGCGGGGUUCGUGACUGGGGUGAAGUCGAAACAAGGUAGCCGUAGGGGAACCUGCGGCUG